CAGGUGGAUCCUUAUCCACUGCGCCACCAGGGAAGUCCCCUGUCUCUUCUUUGAAUUGUGAAAUGAAACUUUCAGAAUAGUGAGUAAGUAAGUACCUAUGUCCAGCUGAAAAUAAUUCAAAGUGAACCCUGGUGUAUUCAUCACCCAGGACAAGAACUAGAAAAUUGGCUGCCCUUCAGAAGACCUUCCUGUGUCCCUCCCGCUCUCCCUGCCAGAGGUGGUACAUUCACAUGGGAAAUCUCCUUCCCAUUCUUGUCCUCAUCUGCAAAGACACCCACUCCGCGUGCCUUAGGAAAUCCUGCUGACUUCACUGCAGAAUACAUCCAGACUCUGACUGCUCUCACUGCCUUCGCUCCCUCCAUCCGAGCCGCCAUCAUUUCUCACUUGGAUUAUCAACAGCCUCCCAACCUCAUCCCCCCUUCAGCCUGAUCUCAACACAGCAGCCAGGGUGAUACUAUUAAAAUGCACGUCUGCUCGAAACCCUCCAAUGGCUUCCCGAUUCACUCGGAGUGCGUGCCAGCAUCCCUAUAAUGACCCGCAAGGCUCUAAACAGCCUGGCCUCCUCUUUUUUACCUCUCUCUCCUCAUUUCCCACUGCUCUUUGCCUUCACUGGUUCUAGUCCAGCCACACUGGCCUCCUUGCCAUUUCCCAAACACCCCAGCCACACUCCUGCCUCUGUGCCUUUGCACUUGCCCUUCCCUCUGUUUCAAAUGCCCUUCCCCCUCCACGACUCAUUCUCUUGUCUAUUAGAGCUUAAGUCUGGUAUCCCUUUCUCAGUAAGGCCUGCCCUGGCCACCCUGCUUAAAAUUGUACAUUUUCUCACGUCUU